CCAGAAACUGUAGACUAAACCCUACUCAGAGCUCGAGAUUAGAAACGCCCAUGACCUAAAACCUCAUCUGCUCUUGUAGCUUAAUUAAAGCAUAGCGCUGAAAAUGCUAAGACGGAUCCUAAUAAAUUCCAAGUGCACAAAGGUUUGGUCCUAGCCUUACUUUCAGUUGUCUCCAAACUUACACAUGCAAGUCUCAGCACGCCCGUGAGGACGCCCUCUACGCCUCCACCAGGCCCAGGAGCUGGUAUCAGGCACACAUCCUUGCCCAUGACGCCUAGUCCCACCACACCCCCAAGGGUACUCAGCAGUGAUAAACAUUGUUCAUAAGCGCCAGCUUGACUCAGUUAAGGAGAAGAGGGUCGGCCAAUCUGCGUGCCAGCCGCCGCGGCUAGACCAGUUGACCCAAAUUGAUGGCCCCCGGCGUUAAGCGUGAUUAAAGCCCCCCGCCAAUUAGAGUGUUACUUAUGUUAAGCUGUGAAAAGCACCCACAACAAAGACCCACAUAAUCGAAAGUUACUCUAAUCUCGCUUGAAUACACGACAGUCAGAAAACAAACUGGGAUUAGAUACCCCACUAUGUCUGACCGUAAAUUUACUUACACCCAAACCGCCAGGGAACUACGAGCUUUAGCUUAAAACCCAAAGGACUUGACGGUGUCCCACCCAACUAGAGGAGCCUGUUCUAUAACCGAUAAUCCCCGUUCUACCUGACCCCCCUUUGCCUUUUCAGCCUGUAUACCUCCGUCGCAAGUCCGCCAUAUGAAUGCCCUUCAGCGGAUUAAAGGAUUUUUUAUCAAUACGUCAGGUCAAGGUGC
rnacentral:rRNA from 1 species